AUGGAGGGCGAAUGCGAGGUAUUGGUGAUUCGGAGCCACUCGUCUCCCGGGGAGAAGCGGAGUUGAUGUUUGCACCCCGUAGGGGUAACCUCCGAGUUGUGGUCAGGGCAUCUGUCCUGGACAAUAUUUUGGGUCAUCUCCCUCAGGAGCGAAUUUGGGACUCUACAAUACGUUUGACAGCCAACCUUACUCCAGCCGAUGCCGACUGGUUUGUUCCGGCCCCGGUUGAUUUGUUGUUGGGAGCCGACGUUUUGGGUUGCAUUGUGACCGGUGGCAUUAAACAUUUGCAGGCUAAGGGGUUGAGUGCCCUUCCAACCAUAUUUGGACAUAGUUUUCUCGGUCCUGUCCUGCCAGUAAAACCGUUGGAGCGCGAUGAGCCUCUCCGAGUGGCGGGCACCGCACUUAUUGAUCUUGUGCAGCGGUUCUGGGAAAUUGAGGAACCCCCUUGUGCGUCUCGAGUGAACCCCUCCGACCAGGAUUGUGAGCUGUUUUACCAGAAUAACACUGGUCGUCGUGUGGAUGGACGAUUUGUUACUCGACUACCAUUUGUGGCCUCACGACCCCCUCUCGGACAGUCACGAGCCUUGGCAGAGAAGAGACUGUUGUCUAUGGAACGGCGUAUGAGAAGAGACCAGGCCUUUCGAGAAAAGUAUACUGCAUUCAUGCGCGAAUACGAGGAAUUGGGACACAUGUCGGUGUCAACCUUUGAUUGGCGCGCGCAUGAACACUACUUCUUGCCACAUCACGCCGUUUUGAAAACCCCUGACAGCAAGAUCAGGGUUGUGUUUGACGGGUCCGCACCCACCUCAAACGGCGUGUCCUUGAACCAGUGCCUGCAUGCGGGUCCGAAAUUGCUGAAGGACAUCUCGGACAUCCUCACGCACUUCCGUCGUCACCAGGUGGUUUUUGUAGCCGACAUUCGGAUGAUGUUUCGGCAAUCGAUUGUGCAUCGCGACGACCGGAACUACCAGCUGAUUUUGUGGCGUGAGCAUCCUGACGACCCGAUGCAGGUGUAUGAGUUGAACACCACGACGUACGGCUUGAGAUCCAGUCCUUAUAUUGCGAUCAGGACCUUGUUGGAGUUGGCUGAGCGCGAGAGGCUCAAUUACCCGCGAGCAGCAGCCGUUUUGGAGUCGUCGGUCUACAUGGACGAUAUUUGUACCGGAGCUUCAACCCUUGAAGAUGCUCUAGUUUUACGUGAUGAAUUGAUUGCGAUCCUGAAGGCAGGGGGUUUUGAAUUGAGCAAAUGGUUGUCGAACUCACCUGACCUUUUGAAGGACCUUCCUGGAGAAGAUCAACAGGAUCCUUACAUAUUUGAGAACCCGGAUGAUACGAACCUGCUGUCCGUCCUUGGGAUACAAUACCGGCCAGUUCAGGAUGUGUUUACGUACCGAGUUAAAUUGGACCCAUCUCCGAGAAAUUGGACUAAGCGUUCCGUCUUGUCAACCGUCGCUCGCACCUUUGACCCAAAUGGUUGGGUAACGCCCGUCAUCUUCCUGGCAAAAUGCUUCCUGCAGAAGCUUUGGAUUGCUCAGGUUGGUUGGGACGAGCCACUUCAGGGCAGACUAGAAGAGGAGUGGACUUCCAUUGUGUCCUCUCUCCCUGAGGUGAACCGGAUUUCCAUCUCCAGACGUUUCUUGCCGCCUGGGAGAUGCCAUGCGAGCUUGCACGGAUUUUGCGACGCGAGUGAAAAGGGUUAUGCUGCAGCCGUUUACCUUCGCACCGUCAAUGCGAACGGUGAGGUAUCGGUGCAUUUGGUGCUGGCCAAGAGCAAGGUGGCGCCGAUCCGGACCAGAUUGACUAUUCCGAAAUUGGAAUUGUCCGGAGCCACGCUUCUCGCCAGGUUGUUGAAUCACGUCAGAGCAACUAUGGCCUCGCUAGUCGAAUUGACUGAGGUCGUUGCCUGGUCAGACAGUGAGAUUGUUUUGUGCUGGUUGCGUGCCUCUCCUCACAAUUUGGAGGUGUUUGUUGCGAAUCGGGUCUCACAGAUCCAGAAUUCGGAAACCACCUUGUUGUGGAGGCAUGUGCCGGGAGAAAUGAACCCCGCCGACUGCGCUUCUCGUGGUUGCGAGGGGUCUUUUCUUGUAGAUCAUCCUUUGUGGUGGGGGCCAGCUUGGCUGACUCGAUCUGAGUCUUCUUGGCCUCAGAAUCGUUUUUCUGACCCUGAGCCCUUACCUUGCUUGCGUGUUGGAGUGGUUGAGGAUUUGUCUCCUCCCACGUACGAAUUCUUGCUGGAGCGGUACAGCUCUUUCGAAAAAUUGAUCGGAGUUACUGGUUGGAUCCGGCGUUUCCACCACAAUAGCAGAACGCCUCAGUCCAAGAUACGGACCCCAGUCUUGUCUCCCAUUGAACGAAAGGAAGCGCUGUUGUUUUGGGUGCGCUUGAUACAGGCCGAACAUUUUUCGGCUGAAAUUCAGAAAUUGAAAGCCGGUUCAGGUUUGAAGGGUUCGCUAGCCCGCCUGAAUCCGUUUGUGGAUCCUGAUGGGAUCUUGAGAGUUGGUGGACGUUUGAGGAACGCCAACUUACCCUAUGGUGCGCGACAUCCCUUGUUGCUCCCAAAUGGUGGGACCUUUGUGGUGCUGCUUGUGAGGCAUUAUCAUUUGAACAAUGCUCACGCUGGUUGUAAUGCAAUUUCUGCUAUUUUGCAGCGUGAAUUUUGGAUUUUGUCGGCCAGACGCGUCAUUCGAAGCGUAAUUUUUCGGUGUAUCCCUUGUUACCGCUUGAAAGCGGCGCCCAUUCAACCCAUCAUGGGCGACCUGCCUGCGGAUCGGGUUACGGAGUCUCGUCCGUUUUACGGAACUGCUUCUGAUUUUGGAGGCCCCUUCAUGGUUCGGAGCUCGAACCUCCGGAAUGCGAGACCUGUAAAGGCCUAUUUAUGCGUAUUUGUUUGCCUCGCCACCAAGGCCGUCCAUCUCGAGCUAGUCAGUUCCCUCAGUACGGAAGCUUUUGUAGCCGCGCUUUCCCGUCUUUGUUCGCGACGCGGAAUUCCGGGACUAAUACGGACUGAUUGUGGGUCCAACUACCGUGGUGCUGAUCGGUAUUUGAAGGAAGUUGUCGAAUUCUUGGAUAGUAAUAAGACUUUUAUUGGCACAGCUGCCUCUCGAAUGGGGGUAACCUGGAAGUUUGAUCCUCCCGUUUGCCCUCACUGGGGUGGAAUUUUUGAAGCUGUGAUUAAGUCAGCAAAAACGCAUCUCUACCGUGUCAUUGGGGAAACUAUUUUGACUUUUGAAGAGUUGGCCACCGUAUUUUGCAGGAUUGAGGCCGUCCUCAAUUCUCGGCCCCUUUGCCCUCUCUCAUCCGAUCCAAACGAUUUAGAAGUUUUAACGCCGGGACAUUUUUUGAUUGGCCAGCCCCUUCGCGCGUUGCCUGAGUACCCCUUCAGGGACGCGAAAACCUCUCGUUUGACUCGCUUUGAAUUGUUGCAACAGAUGACCCAGAACUUUUGGCAUCGUUGGUCUCUGGAGUAUUUGCAUCUUUUGCAGCAGCGCGUGAAGUGGACUGACAAGACGGAUCCUCCUAAGGUUGGUGACCUAGUUCUGGUCAAGGAGUCGAAUUUGCUACCGUUGUAUUGGCGUCGCGGACGUAUUGUUAAGUUGAUGUUUGGAUCGGAUGGAGUGCCCCGCGUGGCUGAGGUCAUGGUGGGAGAUUCGUUGUUGCAUCGGGCUGUAUCGUCACUGGCACGAUUGCCCAUUGAGUAGGGAAUCCACCUUUGGGGAUUCCGAGCGGGGGUUUAUGUUCGCGCUAGAUGGCGCGGCGCGACUGGGCGCUCGAUUGUAGUACGAUUCCCCGCCCGCGCGGGGGGCGUACCGGCGCCUGCGACCGGUUUUCGCGGCGUCGCGCGCGACCUCGUUGACCGCCAGUCUUGGUCCGACGCUUUGACCGGGAACCCGUGUUUCUUGUUCCGGAGUUUUUUGAGCGCAUGGUAGCUUGACUCGAUCUUGGUUGAGCAUUUAUCGAGUGAUUGGACUAUAAUUUGUGUCCGAGGUAUUGACCCUUUGUGAUCGGCACAGAACGCAGUGAUUUUGUGGCGUGUUUGGUGCAUGUGCUUGGGGUUUUUGCUGAAGGGUGAGCGAUCCACAUACACUGAUACUCACACCAACGACCAACACAAUACACAUAACCUGAACUACGUGGAUCACCCGGCGUGGCAUAGCGGCUCCCAGCGGCGUUUGUGCCCAAGAGGGCUACGCCGAUUGUCAAGGUACUCAUCCUCUCCGAUCGCGACGACUGCUGCCACGAAGUUCUGGAUCUUGACCGCGAACUUGACUAUAUCUUUAUGAUAUUCAUCUGCUAAGUGUCGCGGUGUUUCUGCUCCCGUUCCUGCCUUCCUUCGGUACGCGCAGGAUUUGCCAUGAUGCUUGGCGGCGGAGUUUGAAACAUACCUUUUAUAUAUAUCGGCUCAAGAUUUGGCUCGAAGACCACUUUGUAAAGGCC